rnacentral:rRNA from 1 species
UACGUAGGACGCAAGCGUUAUCCGGAUUUAUUGGGUUUAAAGGGUGCGUAGGCGGGAUUAUAAGUCAGUGGUGAAAUACUGUCGCUCAACGAUAGCAUUGCCAUUGAUACUGUAGUUCUUGAGUACAGUUGAGGUAGGCGGAAUGUGUAGUGUAGCGGUGAAAUGCUUAGAUAUUACACAGAACACCGAUUGCGAAGGCAGCUUACUAAGCUGAAACUGACGCUGAUGCACGAAAGCGUGGGGAUCAAACAGG